rnacentral:rRNA from 1 species
AGAAUCAACGCUGGCGGCGUGCCUAACACAUGCAAGUCGAACGAGAAAGGGGAGCAAUCCCUGAGUACAGUGGCGCACGGGUGAGUAACACGUGACUAACCUACCCUGGAGUGGGGAAUAACUGAGGGAAACCUUAGCUAAUACCGCAUAAUACCUACGGGUCAAAGGAGCAAUUCGCUUCAGGAGGGGUCGCGGCCGAUUAGCUAGUUGGCGGGGUAAUGGCCCACCAAGGCAAUGAUCGGUAUCCGGCCUGAGAGGGCGCACGGACACACUGGAACUGAAACACGGUCCAGACUCCUACGGGAGGCAGCAGUGGGGAAUUUUGCGCAAUGGGGGAAACCCUGACGCAGCAACGCCGCGUGGAGGAUGAAAUCCCUUGGGAUGUAAACUCCUUUCGAUCGGGACGAUUAUGACGGUACCGGAAGAAGAAGCCCCGGCUAACUUCGCGCCAGCAGCCGC